AUGAGAAAAAGGCAAACUAUUCGAAAGAAUAGGACGCAAAGCCUAGGGUCUAAGGUAGUGAUACUAUGAUAGCCUGGCUGCCAAA
rnacentral:ncRNA from 1 species